rnacentral:rRNA from 1 species
UACGAAGGGGGCUAGCGUUGCUCGGAAUCACUGGGCGUAAAGGGUGCGUAGGCGGGUCUUUUAAGUCAGGGGUGAAAUCCUGGAGCUCAACUCCAGAACUGCCUUUGAUACUGAAGAUCUUGAGUCCGGGAGAGGUGAGUGGAACUGCGAAGUGUAGAGGUGAAAUUCGUAGAUAUUCGCAAGAACACCAGUGGCGAAGGCGGCUCACUGGCCCGGUACUGACGCUGAGGCACGGAAAGCGUGGGGAGCAAACAGG